GGGAAAGAAGCUACUUAGCAAUUAGUUGUUACCUAAUAGAUAGCGGGUAAACCCCGCCUGCCCU
rnacentral:tRNA from 1 species